rnacentral:rRNA from 1 species
UGGUGAUUGGGGUGAAGUCGUAACAAGGUAGCCGUAGGAGAACCUGCGGCUGGAUCACCUCCUUU